rnacentral:sRNA from 1 species
GCUGGGUGUUGUAGUGCACACCUGUAAUCUCACCUACUUGAGAUGUUGAGGCAGUAGGAUUGCGAGUUCAAAGCCAGCCUCAGCAACCCAGCAAGAUCCUGUCUCAA